CAGAACUAUUUUUUCUUUUAUCUUUUCUUUUUGGCAUCAAAUUAUUUUAGGCUUUUCUUUUUACUUCAAUUAACUUAUCUCAUACUAUACCCUAUUAGUAAAAUCAAUUGGAUCGGUACCCAAUCUCCGAGUGUUUCCUUUCAAUUAAUUGUUUUGGGGCUGGUCAUUAUUUUUCAGUUCUGAAUAUUCGGUUUUACCAGUCACAUUUUUUAGUUUUAUUAUUGAAUAAGUCUGAUCUCGCUGGUUUUUGCAAACUGGUGGAGGCUAAUAUUACAAAUUUUUUUAUCUUUAUUCGUAUUCAUGACCAUUUCUGUUUUCAUCUCCUCAUUUUCCUUGAUACUGUUUCUAUCGGGAAUUUUUUUUUUUUUUGAGGUCGACAUGGAUUUAACUGUUGAAAAGGGAGAAGGUUUUUGUGUGUCUGACUUUUGGGAUGAAGGGGUGUAAGCGUGGUUUACUGUUACUGUUAUGUGAUUGGGGUGAUUCUGAUUACUGGAUGAAAGGUUCAGGUGUGACUAAAUCGAGCGAGGGGAAAUGUAUUAGUAGAUAUAAUUGUAAGAUAAUGGUGAAGGACAAUUGUUUAGACACUUGAUCUAGGGUGUGGCAGGAUUCAUUAAGAAUUGUUUAAAGUGUUCAACAAAGAGGUUUUGAAUGUUCAUGGAAAAUUUAUUAAAAAGUAUGUAGAUUUCUGUCAUUUGCAUAGAAUAUUUACAUCAUUUUUUCUGACAUAUUGUCUAUUUUUAAUUACUGCAUAUGGUCUAUUUGUAUUUUUUUAGUUUUUGUUUUUCAAAUUCAGUUCGAAAUAGUGGUUCUGUUCUGACAUUUUUAAUUUAUUUUUUUUAUUAUUCUUAUGACCCUCUUUUUCCUAAUUUUUCUGUCUUAAGUAUUCUUUUUGAAAAUAUUUCAUCGGUUUUCUUCUUUUUACCGCUUGCAAUGGAUGUGUUAUGAUUGGAAGUCAGUUGAUUAUGGUUGGGAUUCGUUAUUUUUCUUGUUCACGGUUUAGUCUGUUUUCUCAUACUUCAUUUGGUGAAAGGUUAAUUACAGAUGUGCAAUUCCAAUCUUUUUUUUUUUAAAUCCUCUUGUGGAUGUGGGUUGGAAUUUGAAUUUGUUGUUUUACUUCUGCUGGGAUAAAAAUUUGUUUUCCUGCACUUCAUAUUUGUUACUAUCAUAAUUUGUGUUAGAAAAAGGUCAAACAAUAGUCCUGUGAAAUUUGUUUGUCUUGUGAUGGGGAAUUCAAUACAUUGUGGAUGUGGCUUGUACAUUUCAGUUGUGGUGAAGUCUAUUAUUUGUGAUCCUUUACCCUAUGGAUUUACCUAGUUGUUCUCGCUGAUGCAGUAGCACUACUUUAAUAACUCUUAAUUUUCAAAGCAAUAUACUAUUAUUGUGCCAAAGUUGUUAGAUUGUGAUUAGAUUUUUUCUAAUGUUAUAUUUUUUUCUUAUUAAGUUUCUGCAAUGGCUUUAAUGUUGUGUUUCUGUUCUGUGGUGGACUUUUUUCUUAUUCUUAAGUUGUUGCUUUGUGCAAAUUUGAGAUUUUUUUUUUUUUGGCUCUAUAGUUUGUUUAGGAGUUUGUGCUGAUAACAUUUUGUUUAUGGAAUAGUUGUAAUAUAUACUGAUUUGGUUACUAAGUGUUUCUUUCUUAUUUUUUAUUUUAUGGAAAAAUUUAAAUUGGUGAUGAUAUCAUUGUUGACUGUAAUGGAAGCUUGCAUGUUGUGCCAAUGUGGAUUGGAUGCUGUCAAAAACAUAAACCUUUAUUUUUUGUGUGUUUAAGUGUUUUAUUUUUUCGCCAACUUUUUUUAAUGUGCAGUGACCAUUUCAAUUUUGUUAUUAACCUGCAGUUUUUAUAUUCUGAGUGUAAUGGCUUUAAUUUUAUGUCUCGUAUUGAUGGUAAUGUAAGCAUUGAGACUUCUAGUUAUUCUUGUGGAAUUUUUAUGUCACAAUAAUUUAUAUUGCUUUCAUUUGUUUUUCUAUCCUACAAUCUCUUUAAUUUUAUUUAGAAUUCUUAUAUAAGUCUUGAUCCCAUUGUGAUUGAUAAUAUAGAGUUUCAUAAUUACACCAUUUUCAUGUGUCAGUUUUUUGUAGGGAUAGAAAUGUUAAUUUUAAAUUUUUAGGGUGUAUGUCUAAUUUUUAAAAGUUUUGUCAUAUUAUAUUUUCAAAAUCUACAUUAUUUUGAUUAGUGCAUGUUUUUGGCAGGGGCAAAAAUAUUAUUUUUCAAGUUUAAUCAAUAUAUAUGUAAUUUUUGAGAAAUUUGUUGGUGUUUUAAAUAUUUCUGUUGUGUAGUAAUUUCCACAAACAUUUCUGUUCUUGGGAGGCUUUAUGACAUUAUUAAACUCUUAUAAAUAAGACAGUUGUCCUCCAAAUCUGCAUAUUGCAUAAGGAGUGUACUUUUCCGGAAACUUCAGCCCUUUCUCUCAUUUCAUCUUCACCAAAACACUUCAUCAACCGUCCUUCUCCACCCCUGUGAGAUCACACCAUGCUGCCACCACUCUUAGACUUCGUCUUCUUGCACCAUGGAAAGAAUUUGGAAUUCAAUUGCCACACUUCAAUGAUGGUUCCGAACAUGAAGAGCAGUCAUUCUUGAAUUGCAGCAAUCAUUUUGUUAGGAACCUGGAGAUUUCGCGGACGGCACUAGCAGCCUUCAGCCUCAAUGAAGUAUGCGGUUGGGGUUCCCAGAGAAACGAGGCUCACUGUAAUGCUACUUGCUUUGGAGCUUGACUGGAAUUUUUAACUUUGAUGUUAAUAGCUAGCUAGUCUUCAUAUACUGUGCAACUUGUGACGGCAAGAUGCAAGAAGAGCAGAGGUGUUGGGAAAUGCAGCUAGAACCAUCCACAGGCAGAUUCAUACUUAUAUUGGAAGGAAGGAGUUUAUUGAGAUGCGCAAAGCUAUUGUGUUGCAGUCUCAUUGCUGCAACUUCUAUUCUUGAUGGACACCUUGAAUUCAACAGAGCCUUACUAUAGCAGAUGUGUGAAGCCUAACAAUGUCCUCAAGCCAGCAAUUUUUGAGAAUGCCAACAUAAUUCACCAAUUAUGAUGUGGUGGUGUCCUUGAGGUAACUAGGAUCAGUUUUGCUGGUUAUCCUACGAGACGAACAUUUUAUGAGUUUCAACACCAUUUUGGUGUUCUAGCUCCAGAAGUUCUAGAAGGAAAUUUGUGAUUUAUAAGCCUUUGGGUAAAUGUUAAGGAGAUGUGAUGAUGUUAGGGCUCGGGUCUAUGUGAAAAGGAAGAGAAGAGGAAGAAGAGCGAACGUGAAGGAAGGCACCAGCAAUAUCAAUAACAGAAAGCAGAGCAUUGGAGCGGAAGGCAGCAGUCCAAAAGCUGUUGGUGAUAGUGUUGGUAUCAAUAUUAGUAAGCAGCCCAGGGGAGCUCCAGAUGGCAGCAUUUCAGUGGCGGAAAGGACAACAGACAUGCAGCAAAAGUUUAGGAGUAUGCUGGAGAAGAUGGAGAUUGUGAAAAGAUGGGACACUGAGUUGGCAUCUGAGGAUUGGUCGGGUGACAGCAAGGAGGACAGAAGUAGGGAGCUGGGAGAGGGAAGUGGUCACUUUUUGGAAGCAAAGAAAGGAAGGGAGUAGGGAGAGUCCCAGCCUCUCGAAUGCUAAAAGCCAAAACAAUCUUCAGUCGUCUUACAGCCUUAGCCAGGAAUUCCGUUUUCACGACACCAGCAGAGGAGUAAGAACACUUGCGCACCGCUGCACCCUUCAGUGGAAUCUUGCACGUGGUGCCAAUGUGGACUCCUGCAAUGAAAAAGCUAGUAAAGGAUUUCAUUGAUUGGGUGAUGUAAAAUACGUGGUGCCAACACCAAUGCCUGUAACAAAAAGGCUAAUGAGAGAUUUCAAGAGGUUACAAGAAGACCCGCCAGCCGGCAUCAUACGGGCAGCUCAAUCGAACAGUAUUAACCUAUGGAAUGUUGGGAUAUACAGGAGCGAAAGAAGGAUUUGGAGAGAGCAUCAACAUGCUACUUCUGCAUGCAACAAUCUGAUUGAUCUUACUAUUCAAACGCUUCAGGCCCAAAACAAACAUCUAGAAGGGUAGCCCACAAUAUGAUCCAGUUGGAAGUAUCAUGAGAUGCAGGGUUGAUGCGGAUAUUCUAGGAAAUUCAAAUGAAAUGCUAGAAGUGGAGAAGUACAACAAGUGGCUGAAAGUGUCCCUGGUCAUUUGGAAGGAAAUGGGCUAGUGGGAAAGAGGCCAACGUGUGCAGAAGAUUGGGCAUGCAAUUAGGCAACCAUGAGGAAAGAGGAAAGGAAAUGUUGCCUAUAAAUACAGGUAUGAAGAAAAGAAACGGAAGAGUUUAUUAAAUUAUUAGGAGCUCUUUGUUAACUUAAUUGCUUUAGUGUUCUGUUGUUGUGUCUUUUUAUUUGUUGUUCUAUUGUUCUGAUUAAUUGGAUUGUUCUUGCAUUGGUUGUUUCAAUUUCUGUAAUCAGAUGUUGUGAUUGCUAAUGGAAGUGGUGCUAUUAUUUCCCUUCA